rnacentral:rRNA from 1 species
GUCCUAGCCGUAAACGUUGGGUGCUAGGUGUGGGGGACAUCGACCCCUCCGUGCCGAAGCUAACGCAUUAAGCACCCCGCCUGGGGAGUACGGCCGCAAGGCUAAAACUCAAAGGAAUUGACGGGCCCCGCACAAGCGGCGGAGCAUGUUGCUUAAUUCGAUGCGACGCGAAGAACCUUACCUGGGCUUGACAUGCAGGGUGAAACCCGUGAAAGCGGGCGCUCUUCGGAGCCUGCACAGGUGGUGCAUGGCUGUCGU